AGCGUGAACUGAUAGAUACAUUGGAUUAUGAUGAAAUCAUCACCAUAUUCAACUCAAAGCCUCGCCGUCUGCGCAUUGUGAUGUAGGUCACGCCUUAUGAUGCAUCUACUAAAGGUAUACUCCCUGAUGAGGUGUUGGGAGAAUGACCCGGAGAACAGGAUCCAGUUCAAAGGCCUGAUCACAGAGCUAAAGACGCUGCUGGACGAGAGGCACAGAGGAGACAGACUGGCUGUCUGAACUGAUAGAGCUCACACCUAUAUGGAUAUAUAUAAUAAUUCAUAUUACAAUAAUAUAAAAUACAUUGAGUAUACCAAAACAUUAGGAACACCUUCCUACUAUUGAGUUGCUCCCCCCACCCCUUUUUGCCCUCAGAACAGCAUCAAUUUGUCAGUGCAUGGACCCUGCAAGGUGUCGAAAGUGUUCCACAGGGAUGCUGGCCCAUGUUGACACCAAUGCUUCCCACAGUUGUGUGAAGUUGUCUGGAUGUCCUUUGGGUGGUGGAUCAUUCUUGAUACACUUGGGAAACAAGUUGAGCGUGAAAAACCCAGCAGCAUUGCUAAACCGGUGCGCCUGGCACCUACUACCAUACACCACUCAAAGGCACUUAAAUGUUUUUGUCUUGCACCAUCAUCCUCUGAAUGGCACAAAAACUCAAUCCAUGUCUCAAGGCUUAAAAAUCAUUAUUUAACCUGUCUCCUUCCCUUCAUCUACAAUGUUUGAAGGGGAUUUAACAAGUGACAUCAAUAAGGGAUCAUAAGCAAAUGCUUAUAUCCAAAUAGACGGAUGGAUGGAUGAAAAGGCUGACAGACAGACAAAUGUCAGUUAGCAGAAACAGACAGACUGACAGACUGACAUAAAAAUAGACGUAAUCUAGCACAGACAGACCAACACACAAAGACAGACAGACAGACAUCAACCAUCACAGAGACAGAAGGACAAAAGCUGCAUUUUUUACAAUACAGAAACGAAUUGCCCAGAUGUGGGCUUGAUUUAUAUACUUUUCCACAUAUUGUACAUAUACAGUAACUCAAAAGGAUUCUGACCAUCAAAUGCAUGUUGCUGUCAUUCACUAUGUUCUUAAGUACAGUAUUUGUUUCUUUUUACAAGCUAUUGAUACACAUUGUAAGUUAAAUAGGACCCUUUUGGAUAACUG
ensembl:lncRNA